rnacentral:rRNA from 1 species
UGAAGAUUUUGUGACUGAGUGGCGGACGGGUGGAGUAACACGUGAGCAACCUGGCCUUUCAGAGGGGGAUAACGGCUGAAACGGUCGCUAAUACCGCAUGAUGUGUUCGGAUGGCAUCAUCUGAACAUCAAAGAUUUAUCGCUGAAAAGAUGGGGCUCGCGUCUGAUUAGAUAGUUGGUGGGGGUAACGGCCUACCAAGUCUACGAUCAGUAGCCGGACUGAGAGGUUGAACGGCCCACAUUGGGACUGAGAUACGGCCCAGACUUCC